GAUGAAGAACGUAGCGAAAUGCGAUAAGUAGUGUGAAUUGCAGAAUUCAGUGAAUCAUCGAAUCUUUGAACGCACAUUGCGCCCGCCAGUAUUCUGGCGGGCAUGCCUGUUCGAGCGUCAUUUCAACCCUCAAGCCCCCGGGCUCGGUGUUGGGGAUCGGCGUGCCCUCGCGGCGCGCCGUCCCCUAAAUCUAGUGGCGGUCUCGCUGUAGCUUCCUCUGCGUAGUAGCAACACUCGCACUGGAUCGCAGCGCGGCCACGCCGUUAAACCCCCCACUUCUGAAAGUUUGACCUCGGAUCAGGUAGGAAUACCCGCUGAACUUAAGCAUACAAUAAGCGGAGGA
rnacentral:misc_RNA from 1 species